rnacentral:rRNA from 1 species
UUCAUAAAUAUUGAAGUUAACUUUUAAGUGAAAAGGCUUAAAUACUUUGGGGGGACGAUAAGACCCUAUAAAUCUUAACAUUUCUACUAUUAAAUGUACUUAGAGUGUAGUUGAUGUAUGUUUAUUGGGGUAGUGUUUUACUGGGGCGGUAUAAAUAAAAUUAGUAACUGUUUAUAUUAAUUACAGUAAUAUCUGAACAUUUGUAGAUCCUUAAUUAAAGAUCAAAAGUUUAAGUUACUUUAGGGAUAACAGCGUUAUUUCUUUUAAGAGUUCAUAUCUAAAAAGAAGUUUGCGACCUCGAU